rnacentral:misc_RNA from 1 species
GUGGUCUAUUACAUUGCUUGGAAGAUCACUGAUUCUAUCUAAACCAGAACUAAGACCAAUUCUCUCCAUAAUAGUUUAUGUGCUAAAAUCCAAGCCUGCAAUUGAAACAGACCAAAUCAAUUAUCUUUUGGGCAGUUUUUCUUAGAUGACACAAACAUUGGCAUUGCAGAUUAACACUUUCAUGAAUUAGAUCCCAAAAGCACAAAGAAAAAGAGACAAUCAUCAUCUACAGGUUGUCCACAACAUAGAGUGAUAAACAAUAUAACAUCACAACUUAGUUGUCAGGUCCUUCCACAUUAACAUAAUUGGAUUCUCUUCUCAAAGAAAAAAAAAAUAACUAAUUGGAUUCGCCUAAAAACAUUUCAUCUUUCUUUGUCACAACUCCACUUACAUGUUCAACUUGAAUCUUGGUGAUUAAUUAUUAAGUAAUUUAUCAAAAAUAUUAAUCCAAACAUUCAUGAACAAAGAGUGCAGCUGCAAUCAUAAUAGCUCAGCUCAUGUACUUCUUUCUUAUUAUUAGAGUUAGAACAAGAAGAAAACAAAUUAUCAUAUGUUUGAAUGGCUCCCUCAUUAGCUGUGUCUUAAAAGUGUUCAAAAGUUGCAUCCAGUUUCCAAUUUAAUCAAGUCCGUCUUUCCUCAUUGCUAAUCCAACUACCAGAUUCCUGGAUUAUGUUCUGAAAAUUUGCGGCUUUAAAUGCCCCUAGUAAGGUCACUGGACCUGAAUCAGUUGCUAUUCCUAUAACGAUUUAAAGGCAAAGGCGAAAAUGGUGAGUUAUAUAGAAGGGAAUCAGAGCAAAGAAAUUUCCUGAUGCCCACACCACAAGGUGUUUGCAAUUUCCAGGAGUCUUACUAAAACGAAAGUCAAAUCCUUUUCAACAAUAUCCUCCAAUACCCACCUCCUGUAACUGCUGAUUAUGAAGACAGAAACCAAUACCCUCAUCACGCAAAUUCAUUCGCACACAAGGAACUGUAUAAGUCCAAUAAACAAUCAAGCAGCUCACUCACACACAAGUAUUUGGUACUCCACACACACGCACAAGCAAACAGCGCACUCACACACAAGUAUUUGGUCCUCUUCUUCCUCUUCCUCUUCCUCCUUAUGGAAGUCAGAAUAUUCCCAUGUCUCUUCAGCAGAAUUUCUUUCCAUUUUUAGAAGCAGAAAUUUUUGUCCAGAAUACUGUUGGGGACCCUCCUGUGAAGAAAAACAAAGGAUAAAGAGCCUGAGAUUUAUAUCCAAAGAAGAAGAAAGUAAUUAAAUAUGAGAAAGAAACAGAGAUUUGAAUAUGUUCUUCUAAGAGAAAGAAUUAGAGAGAGAGAAAAAGGCAGAGACAAGUGGAACAUAAAGAAAUAAAGCCACUGCAAGAAAAGAACUAAAGAAAAGAAUAGAAAUGGAGAAGUCAGUGCAGGCUACCCAAAUGUUCUUUGUCUUUCUUUGUUUGGGACAGAACAAAACUGUAAAAGUUAAUCUACAGGGCCGGCCAUUGCCUGAUCCUUUGUCUACAAAUACUCCUUUUCGCAUGUAUUCGAAGGAAGGUGCUCAAGCGAGGCUUGGAAUAGCCAGACAGUGACAGAUUUUAGCAUGCAGAAAAAAAAAAAAUUAUACACAACAGUAACACUUUUUAUUUUGUGGGUUUUCUUGCAAACAUGGAAUUGAACUCAUAUGAUAGUGUCACACCAUCACAGAGAGCUUUUGUUUACCUCUAUACGCUUAGCAUAUUCAUUUCCUGAAUCCAAAGUAUGGUGGUUUUAUUUGGAAUCCAAGAUCACUAUCACUAUUUCUUUACUCUCCUCUAAUUGCAUUACACAGAGGCAUUCUUGAGAGAUGGGAAAUAGGGAGAGAAUAGGGUUGGUGGGGUUUUUAUUUGGAGAUUUUCUUGUUUUUUUGGUGGGUUGGUGUGAAAAUGAAAACAUUUUAAUUACUAGUGGGUGAUAUUUGUGGUGGAAUUGGGUGCAAUGAAGAUUUUGAAUGCUAUGUCAUGGACCGCUUGUGAAUUGUGAUUAUUGAGAUGGAAU